GUGAGGAAUAUUGGUCAAUGGGCGAGAGCCUGAACCAGCCAAGUCGCGUGAAGGAUGAAGGUUUUAUGAAUUGUAAACUUCUUUUGCAGGGGAAUAAAGUACGGUACGUGUACCGUUUUGUAUGUACUCUGCGAAUAAGGAUCGGCUAACUCCGUGCCAGCAGCCGCGGUAAUACGGAGGGUGCGAGCGUUAUCCGGAUUUACUGGGUUUAAAGGGUGCGUAGGCGGCUUUGUAAGUCAGCGGUGAAAUUUUGCAGCUUAACUGUAAAAGCGCCGUUGAUACUGUGAAGCUAGGAUUUGGUUGCUGUGGGCGGAAUGUGUGGUGUAGCGGUGAAAUGCAUAGAGAUCACACAGAAUAUCGAUUGCGAAGGCAGCUCACAAAGCCAAUAUUGACGCUGAGGCACGAAAGUGUGGGGAUCAAACAGGAUUAGAUACCCUGUAGUCC
rnacentral:rRNA from 1 species